rnacentral:rRNA from 1 species
GUCUCUUGCCAUCCUUGGGUCUAAGCUGUCUGGCAUUUAGUUGUCGGGCAGUGGCUGCCCAUCGUUUACUGUGAAAAAAUUAGAGUGUUCAAAGCAGGCUUAUGCCGUUGAAUAUAUUAGCAUGGAAUAAUAAGAUAGGACCUUGGUACUAUUUUGUUGGUUUGCGCACCGAGGUAAUGAUUAAGAGGGACAGUUGGGGGUAUUCGUAUUCAAUUGUCAGAGGUGAAAUUCUUGGAUUUCUGGAAGACGAACUACUGCGAAAGCAUUUACCAAGGAUGUUUUCAUUAAUCAAGAACGAAAGUUAGGGGAUCGAAGAUGAUUAGAUACCAUCGUAGUCUUAACCAUAAACUAUGCCGACUAGGGAUUUGUGGGUGUUA